UAUGGCCACAUCAUGUUGAAAUACUGGUUCCCAUACAAUCACUGAAGUUAAGCAAUGGCAAUACUUAGAUGGGUGACUACAUGGGAAUACCAGGUGCUGUAUG